rnacentral:tRNA from 1 species
GCGCCCGUAGCUCAGUAGGAUAGAGCGUCGGUCUCCGGAACCGAAGGUCGGGGGUUCAAGUCCCCCCGGGCGCG